GCCUUCGUGGUGUAACGGAUAACACAACGGUCUUCGGAACCGUUGAUGGGGGUUCGAUUCCCUCCGAAGGCACGA
rnacentral:tRNA from 4 species